rnacentral:rRNA from 1 species
GACGAACGCUGGCGGCGUGCUUAACACAUGCAAGUCGAACGGAAAGGCCCUGCUUUUGUGGGGUGCUCGAGUGGCGAACGGGUGAGUAACACGUGAGUAACCUGCCCUUGACUUUGGGAUAACUUCAGGAAACUGGGGCUAAUACCGGAUAGGAGCUCCUGCUGCAUGGUGGGGGUUGGAAAGUUUCGGCGGUUGGGGAUGGACUCGCGGCUUAUCAGCUUGUUGGUGGGGUAGUGGCUUACCAAGGCUUUGACGGGUAGCCGGCCUGAGAGGGUGACGGGCCACAUUGGGACUGAGAUACGGCCAAGACUCCUACGGGAGGCAGCAGUGGGGAAUAUUGCAAAAUGGGCGGAACCCGGAUGCAGCAACGCCGCUUGCGGGUUAACGGCCUUCGGUUGGUAAACCGCUUUCGCCUGUGACGAAGCGUGAGUGACGGUAAUGGGUAAAGAAGCACCGGCUAACUACGUG